UAUUUUUAAAGAUUGAUUGAAGGUCGGGUUACCAUCUAUUGAGGAUCAAGGAGGAGAAUAUUUCGGUUACUCUUGGAAAAUUGUGUAAUUGUAUUGUAUUGAUUAUAUUAUUUGAGAGUAGGAGGAGGAAAUAAAGAAAUCAUAAUCCUCAUCUUUUCAUCGAUUGAGCUAUGAUCAAUUUAGAGGACUAAAUUUUCUUUUAAGGGGGGGAGAGUGUAAUAUCCCUCACUUUUAAAAAUUAUUAAUAAAGAUUUAUUUAUAAAUCGGAGGACCUAUAUGUAAAUACAAAAAUUUCA
rnacentral:lncRNA from 1 species